GUUGUAUAGUUAAGUGAGAAAGCGUACAGGGUGGAUGCCUUGGCAAUCAGAGGCGAAGAAGGACGUGCUAAUCUGCGAAAAGCGUGGGUGAGUUGAUAAGAAGCGUUUAACCCACGAUGUCCGAAUGGGGAAACCCGAUAGGCGAAGAGCCUAUCAUUACGAGGUGAAUAAAAUAGCCUCGUAAGGCGAACCGGGAGAACUGAAACAUCUAAGUACCCCGAGGAAAAGAAAUCAACCGAGAUUCUGUGAGUAGCGGCGAGCGAAAGCGGAGGAGCCAGUAAGUAAUAGCAGCAGAGAUAGAGGAAUUGUCUGGGAAGGCAAGCGACACAGGGUGAUAGCCCCGUACUUAAAAUCCAGGCUGUGGUACUAAGCUUACGAGAAGUAGGGCGGGACACGAGGAAUCCUGUCUGAAGAUGGGGGGACCAUCCUCCAAGGCUAAAUACUCCUGAUUGACCGAUAGUGAACCAGUACUGUGAAGGAAAGGCGAAAAGAACCCCGGUGAGGGGAGUGAAAUAGAACCUGAAACCCUGUACGUACAAGCAGUGGGAGCCCCAUCACUCAAACACAUUGAGUGUUGGAAGAGGCAAAAAGCACCAAAAAUAACACCGCACUUUAAAGUGUAGGGUACGACGAGCGAAGCGAGUCAAACCCAAAAAUAGCAGUGUGAUUGAGUGAUGGGGUGACUGCGUACCUUUUGUAUAAUGGGUCAGCGACUUAUAUUUUGUAGCGAGGUUAACUGAAUAAGGGAGCCGAAGGGAAACCGAGUCUUAACUGGGCGGUGAGUUGCAAGGUAUAGACCCGAAACCCGGUGAUCUAGCCAUGGGCAGGUUGAAGGUUGGGUAACACUAACUGGAGGACCGAACCGACUAAUGUUGAAAAAUUAGCGGAUGACCUGUGGCUGGGGGUGAAAGGCCAAUCAAACCGGGAGAUAGCUGGUUCUCCCCGAAAUCUAUUUAGGUAGAGCCUUGUGUGAAUACCUUUGGGGGUAGAGCACUGUUUCGGCUAGGGGCCCAUCCCGGGUUACCAAACCGAUGCAAACUCCGAAUACCAAAGAGUAAUGCACAGGAGACACACGGCGGGUGCUAACGUCCGUCGUGGAGAGGGAAACAACCCAGACCGCCAGCUAAGGUCCCAAAAUCUAUAUUAAGUGGGAAACGAAGUGGGAAGGCUUAGACAGCUAGGAUGUUGGCUUAGAAGCAGCCACCAUUUAAAGAAAGCGUAAUAGCUCACUAGUCGAGUCGGCCUGCGCGGAAGAUGUAACGGGGCUAAAAUAUAGUACCGAAGCUGCGGCAUCAGUAGCAAUACUGUUGGGUAGGGGAGCGUUGUGUAAGCGGAAGAAGGUGAUUUGAGAAGAUUGCUGGACGUAUCACAAGUGCGAAUGCUGACAUAAGUAACGAUAAAACGGGUGAAAAACCCGUUCGCCGGAAGACCAAGGGUUCCUGUCCAACGUUAAUCGGGGCAGGGUGAGUCGGCCCCUAAGGCGAGGCUGAAAAGCGUAGUCGAUGGGAAACGGGUUAAUAUUCCCGUACUUGGUAAAGCUGCGAUGUGGGGACGGAGAAGGUUAGGUUAUCGACCUGUUGGAGAUGGUCGUUUAAGUUGGUAGGUGGGUGAGUUAGGCAAAUCCGGCUCACCGUUAACACUGAGAGAUGAUGACGAGGCACUAAGGUGCUGAAGUAACUGAUACCACACUUCCAGGAAAAGCCACUAAGCUUCAGGCUUUACUAAACCGUACUGAAAACCGACACAGGUGGUCAGGUAGAGAAUACUCAGGCACUUGAGAGAACUCGGGUGAAGGAACUAGGCAAAAUAGCACCGUAACUUCGGGAGAAGGUGCGCCGGCGUAGAUUGUAGUGACUUGCUCACGAAGGUUGAACCGGUCGAAGAUACCAGCUGGCUGCAACUGUUUAUUAAAAACACAGCACUCUGCAAACACGAAAGUGGACGUAUAGGGUGUGAUGCCUGCCCGGUGCUGGAAGGUUAAUUGAUGGUGUAAUCGAAAGAGAAGCUCCUGAUCGAAGCCCCAGUAAACGGCGGCCGUAACUAUAACGGUCCUAAGGUAGCGAAAUUCCUUGUCGGGUAAGUUCCGACCUGCACGAAUGGCAUAAUGAUGGCCAGGCUGUCUCCACCCGAGACUCAGUGAAAUUGAAAUCGCCGUGAAGAUGCGGUGUACCCGCGGCUAGACGGAAAGACCCCGUGAACCUUUACUAUAGCUUGACACUGAACCUUGAAUUUUGAUGUGUAGGAUAGGUGGGAGACUAUGAAGCGGUAACGCCAGUUAUCGUGGAGUCGUUGUUGAAAUACCACCCUUUAACGUUUGAUGUUCUAACGAAGUGCCUGAAACGGGUACUCGGACAGUGUCUGGUGGGUAGUUUGACUGGGGCGGUCUCCUCCCAAAGCGUAACGGAGGAGCACGAAGGUUUGCUAAUGACGGUCGGACAUCGUCAGGUUAGUGCAAUGGUAUAAGCAAGCUUAACUGCGAGACAGACAAGUCGAGCAGGUGCGAAAGCAGGUCAUAGUGAUCCGGUGGUUCUGAAUGGAAGGGCCAUCGCUCAACGGAUAAAAGGUACUCCGGGGAUAACAGGCUGAUACCGCCCAAGAGUUCAUAUCGACGGCGGUGUUUGGCACCUCGAUGUCGGCUCAUCACAUCCUGGGGCUGAAGUAGGUCCCAAGGGUAUGGCUGUUCGCCAUUUAAAGUGGUACGCGAGCUGGGUUUAGAACGUCGUGAGACAGUUCGGUCCCUAUCUGCCGUGGGCGUUGGAGAAUUGAGAGGGGCUGCUCCUAGUACGAGAGGACCGGAGUGGACGCAUCACUGGUGUACCAGUUGUCUCGCCAGAGGCAUUGCUGGGUAGCUAAAUGCGGAAGAGAUAAGUGCUGAAAGCAUCUAAGCACGAAACUUGCCUUGAGAUGAGUUCUCCCAGUCUAUAAGACUGUAAGGGUUGUUGGAGACUACGACGUAGAUAGGCUGGGUGUGUAAGCGGUGUGAGCCGUUGAGCUAACCAGUACUAAUUGCCCGAGAGGCUUAACUAUACAACGCUCAAGGGUUUUG
rnacentral:rRNA from 1 species